GGGAGAUUAUAAAGGAUAAGGAUAUGAAGGAAACUUUUAUUUUAGAGGCCCUUAGCCAACCCACCUUUAUCGAUACUUCAUUUCUUUACACAGGACGUGUGAGCCCUUAUCCUUUUCUUUAUCUCAUAUUAUAAAUAUUCCUAAUCACCUUCCUCCUCAAAGCUCUCUCUCUCUCUAAUGGAGAAUCCGACUGCAACGAUGACCUUCAACAUGGAUUCCCUCCCAAACAUUCUUCCAAACAAGAGAGGGUUGUCAAGGUACUACUCAGGGAAAUCAAGAUCAUUUGCAUGCAUGGAAGACGUUCAAUGCCUUGAAGAUUUGAAGAAAAAAGAACAUCCAGAUGCCAAGAAAAGAAAGAAAUUUUCUGAGAGGAGGGAAUCCCACAUUCCUCCAUAUCAGUGUCGAAAGCUAUCAAGCACUACACCGUCUCUAGAUUUUGAACAAAUUAAUUCUUUAGUUGUUUAGCCAUCACAACAGGAAAUGUUUUAUUUCUUAUCUUGAAAAUUUUCAAUUUCUAAUUUUUUUUUUU